rnacentral:rRNA from 1 species
GAACCGGACGAACGUUAUUCGGAAUCACUGGGCUUAAAGAGUGCGUAGGCGGCUUGGUAGGUUGGGUGUGAAAUCCCACAGCUCAACUGUGGAACUGCGCUCAAAACCCCCAAGCUUGAGGAAGGCAGAGGUGAGCGGAACUGAUGGUGGAGCGGUGAAAUGCGUUGAUAUCAUCAGGAACACCGGUGGCGAAGGCGGCUCACUGGGCCUUUUCUGACGCUGAGGCACGAAAGCUAGGGGUAGCGAACAGGAUUAGAUACCCUGGUAGUCCUAGCUGUAAACGAUGAGCACUUGAUCGAGGGGACCCUCCACAUCCUCUCGGUCGUAGCGAAAGUGUUAAGUGCUCCGCCUGGGAGUAUGGUCGCAAGGCUGA